GAUGGCCAAAACACCCUCCUCCAGCUCGCUGUCCCAGCGCAUGAGGCAGACCCUCUCCAGCACCACCAUAUUUGGGAGCAAAAGCAAAGCAUCAGCUGGCUCUAACCGCCAGGGGACCUUCUUCGCCUCUCCACAACUGAAGUAAUGGCAAAG